UACGUAGGGGGCAAGCGUUGUCCGGAUUUAUUGGGCGUAAAGAGCCCGUAGGCGGCUCGGUAAGUCGGAUGUGAAACCUCCAGGCUCAACCUGGAGACGCCAUCUGAUACUGCCGUGGCUUGAGUCCGGUAGAGGAGCAGGGAAUUCCUGGUGUAGCGGUGAAAUGCGCAGAUAUCAGGAGGAACACCAGCGGCGAAGGCGCUGCUCUGGGCCGGUACUGACGCUGAGGAGCGAAAGCGUGGGGAGCGAACAGG
rnacentral:rRNA from 1 species